rnacentral:rRNA from 1 species
GAUGAACGCUGGCGGCGUGCCUAAUACAUGCAAGUCGAGCGAACAGAUGAGGAGCUUGCUCCUCUGACGUUAGCGGCGGACGGGUGAGUAACACGUGGAUAACCUACCUAUAAGACUGGGAUAACUUCGGGAAACCGGAGCUAAUACCGGAUAAUAUAUUGAACCGCAUGGUUCAAUAGUGAAAGACGGUUUUGCUGUCACUUAUAGAUGGAUCCGCGCCGCAUUAGCUAGUUGGUAAGGUAACGGCUUACCAAGGCAACGAUGCGUAGCCGACCUGAGAGGGUGAUCGGCCACACUGGAACUGAGACACGGUCCAGACUCCUACGGGAGGCAGCAGUAGGGAAUCUUACGCAAGGGGCGAAAGCCUGACGGAGCAACGCCGCGUGAGUGAUGAAGGUCUUCGGAUCGUAAAACUCUGUUAGUAGGGAAGAACAAAUGUGUAAGUAACUAUGCACGUCUUGACGGUACCUAAUCAGAAAGCCACGGCUAACUACGUG